AGCAACGUGGCGCAGCGGAAGCGCGCCGGGCUCAUAACCCGGAGGACACUGGAUCGAAACCAGUCGUUGCUA
rnacentral:tRNA from 1 species